GUGCUCCCUUUGGCAGCACACAUACUAAAACCAGAACGAUACAGAGAAGAUCAGCAUGGCCCCUGCACAAGGAUGACACACAAAUUCAUGAAGCGUUACAUAUUUUU
rnacentral:snRNA from 1 species